rnacentral:tRNA from 1 species
GCCUGGGUGGCUCAGUCGGUUGAGCGACUGACUUCAGCUCAGGUCACGAUCUUGCGAUCCGUGAGUUCGAGCCCCGCGUCGGGCU